AUCCUGGCUCAGGAUGAACGCUAGCUACAGGCUUAACACAUGCAAGUCGAGGGGAAACGACAUCGAAAGCCUGCUUUUGAUGGGCGUCGACCGGCGCACGGGUGAGUAACGCGUAUCCAACCUGCCCACCACUUGGGGAUAACCUUGCGAAAGUAAGACUAAUACCCAAUGAUAUCUCUAGAAGACAUCUGAAAGAGAUUAAAGAUUUAUCGGUGAUGGAUGGGGAUGCGUCUGAUUAGCUUGUUGGCGGGGUAACGGCCCACCAAGGCGACGAUCAGUAGGGGUUCUGAGAGGAAGGUCCCCCACAUUGGAACUGAGACACGGUCCAAACUCCUACGGGAGGCAGCAGUGAGGAAUAUUGGCCAAUGGGCGAGAGCCUGAACCAGCCAAGUAGCGUGCAGGAUGACGGCCCUAUGGGUUGUAAACUGCUUUUAUAAGGGAAUAAAGUGAGUCUCGUGAGACUUUUUGCAUGUACCUUAUGAAUAAGGACCGGCUAAUUCCGUGCCAGCAGCCGCGGUAAUACGGAAGGUCCGGGCGUUAUCCGGAUUUAUUGGGUUUAAAGGGAGCGUAGGCCGGAGAUUAAGCGUGUUGUGAAAUGUAGAUGCUCAACAUCUGAACUGCAGCGCGAACUGGUUUCCUUGAGUACGCACAAAGUGGGCGGAAUUCGUGGUGUAGCGGUGAAAUGCUUAGAUAUCACGAAGAACUCCGAUUGCGAAGGCAGCUCACUGGAGCGCAACUGACGCUGAAGCUCGAAAGUGCGGGUAUCGAACAGGAUUAGAUACCCUGGUAGUCCGCACGGUAAACGAUGGAUGCCCGCUGUUGGUCUGAAUAGGUCAGCGGCC
rnacentral:rRNA from 1 species